CUGAAGUCAGGAAACUUUAACUGUUACAGGUCAAUGAGAUUACAGGAUUGAUGAUCACCUCAUCCACAGGAAGUGGCUGAUAGCAUAAGACAGCAGAGCCUGAAUGGAAAAUUACCUCCACAUCACCUCAAGGGCGCAUGGGCGAUUCAUGGGAGAGUAAUAAUAGACUCUGACUCCAAACACAGCAAGUUCCAACAGAACGUAUUCUAUUGACUGAGUGCGAAAUGAAUCAUUCGCCUUGUCAGGACCUGCCACUUCUUUAGAAAGACCUCCUCUGGUGCGUCCGGCCGUUGGGUGAGGCAAAGAACUAAGAUAAAAGAAAUGAAAGCAACGGUUAAGCACACCAAUGCGCAAACAUAACUGGCUUUCAUCACACUGAGCCGGCGGAGAGCGGGUUGGGGAGAAAGUGGAAUGCUGGAAAAUUUAGGGAUUAUAGUAGAGAUUGUUGCACCGUUUGAAUGUUUUAUAAUGCUUAAUCUCAUUUUAUCAUGAAGGCCCAAAGAUUUCCACAUGCAUUUUGAAUUUUACAUGUGCAAAAGAAGAACAAUGUUUUUUCUACUUUUUGUCAUAGAUGGAGUAAAACACAUAAAAGUUUAAUUAAAGCAAAUACAUUUUU